GGGUGUCUUUGCAGUGCCGACAACAACGGAUUCGCUCAUCGUCCUUCUCAUCCAGCACCGAGCUCACACUGCUGACGCUGCUGAUGCUGCCCCGGCGGGAGCCAUGGACACUAUUAGGACUGUAAAAUUUUACCAACACACAUGAAAUGUACUUCAGCAGAAAGCCUGCGUUCAGGUACUUCAAACAGUCUGCUGGAAGCGCAUGACAACCAAGACAGCAAGUGAGAACUGGAGUCUUCACUGUAAACUCUUCUCCAUUCAAAAAGCAGAGAGAGAAUAGACUGCUGACAGCCACCUUCUUUGCAUUCUCAUGCCAGAGGUCUGCAGUUACAGAACAGCGUAUAGCCGUGUUACUGCUGCCAGUGCUCUGUGCUUGAAUGUGCCAAAAGCCCGGUCACUAUCAUUUAUUUCCACAGAAAACACAGCCUCCUCUCCAAUGUACCAGGUGAAGAAGUUAAAUAUCAAAGGGUUUCUUAAAGGCAUGUGGAUGAACUUCCUUAAUGUCAGCAUUUGAACAACCACAGGCAAGACUGGAAAUACCCACAACAGAACCUUGGCAGUUACAAUCCCUGAAGGUAACACCUUCAUAGUUACAAGUACUCAAUAGAUAAGACACUAAUCAUUAAUUCUAUUUACCGGUAGCACAUACUACUACUGUGUCUAGUGACUACUUCAGUGUUCUGCAAUACUUCCAAAGCUAGAGAAGAAACACAAAUGAUAAAUUCUUCUGUUCCUCAGACAAGUGUCUGCAUGAGACUGCCAUGCUAAGGACCAAGUCUUUCACACAGGCAGCUUUUUUUCCAAUGGCAAAAUGCUUGGGUGCAGUCAAGAGUAAGCUAAGGAAAGGAGGAACUGUCUUCAGGGGCUAUACUCACUGGCCAAGGGAAGGCUGACAAGUUCCAUGCACUUCUUGCACAUGAUGGAGCCACAGAGGCGGCAGUGGUGACGUCUGUUUCGAAUGCUGAACUUACUGCCGCAGUCUGGGCAGAAGGGGACAUCCUGAUCGUUGACCCAAGGCACAACAGACUUCUCUAUAGCUGUAAGGGAUGGGAGAGGAGGGGACACACAACUGGAGAUAUUAAACUAAUUUCUCAGCUGGUUACACCGGAGCAGUCUGAGUGAAGCUCAUACCAACCUCUUAUUUUAGCCGACUCGGUGUUUGCUCUGUCAAAUGACGUCAGCUAGUGGAAGAAACAGAACGUUCAAGGAACCGGUACCAGGGAAAGGAAAGAACAAAACAGGAAAGAAACCUGCCAGAUCUAAGAGACAGGAGUCUCAGCCUCUUGUACAGCAGAUUGCUUAAACCUCCCUGUUUAUUCUAACGUCACAAUCACACAAACAGUGCUGAACCGUGACUGCACAAGGCAGAGCAUUUGGGGCAGAACCCCUAUAGCCGAACCUGCUGCACCUGAGCCACACCACCAUGUGGGCAGUGAAGCUGGGAAGAUCACGACAAAAACUUCAGGGAGACAUUUAAGGAAAAACACAGGCACACUCCAUACUAAAACCCAAGAGGUUUAAAUCUAGGAAGCAUUCAUAGGGCUGGAAUGUUAAAAGGCAGCAGAUUUACCUUUUCUAACCUGAUGAUCAGCUUAUUAACUUCAACUACAUAGUGGUCAAUCCUGGCUGCUCGGUUCUUCUUGAAAUCAGAAAGAUGGCUUCUCAUAGCCCCUGGAGAGACAGCAGGAAGGUUUCAGUCACCUAGAUGUUCUGUGAGGACUUAAAAUUCUAAAGACACACUACAAUCCCAGACUUCCAGAGUGCUGGUCUAAACGAAGCAUGCAUAUUAAAGCUUAAUCUCAAGACUAGCAGUAAGUGCCACCAAAGUAACUGAUAUCUCAGUGACAGCAAGAAGCAACGUCCAGUCCCAGGAUUCCUAAUCACAGGCUUGGUCAAUUUACCUUUGAAAUUCUACAGCUGUCAGUUUAUAUUUAGAGCAGUGGCUUUGGGGUCAUGUUGUAUUUUUUUUAACACUUUCAUUGUUUUGGGGUUUGUUUGGGUUUUUUAAAGAAAAUCUCUUUUUACUAAGAGAUGGUCUGCACCCCAAACUCAAGAUAAAACUGGAAGAAUAAGCCUUUUGUCAGACAUGUAAGCUAACAACUACUUGAAGUGCAGCCCAAAAGCUAAGAAAUGUAUAAAGCUACAGCCCAAUUAUUAACCAGCUAUAGCUUCAUUGUUAAUCAGCAGAGUUACCGGUUUUGCAGAAAGCCACAAAAUGGCUGCAGAACACCUCAACAAAGCAAGGUGCACAGAGGUGAACACAUCUCCAUCAGACUUCAACAGCUGAGGCACAAUCACAAGUGACCCUGCGCCCAGGGCUAGCUGGGGUCACCCCUGUUAAGAGCAUUCUCCCCUCUGCCCCACACAACAUAGGCACAACAUCAACAUGCAAACCAUUACCUCCUGCAACAGUACAUCAAACAAUGCAGACGCAUGCAACUGCAGCAACACUGUGGCACUUUCCCAAGCCAGAUUAAGUAAAUUAUCCCCACUGCUAUCCCUUUCCAUCUCACCUACCCACUUCCUGGGGCUCCCACAUGCAGGGAUCUACUCCGCCAUAGCUGAAGGACUCGUAUCGCUCCUGAGAUCCAGAAUCAGUUCUGUCAUCUCCUUCUCGUUUCAGCAAUUUCUUCUUUGCCCUUUUGGCCUUCUGGACCAGGUCUGAAAAAGAUAAACCCAAGCAGGUACAAGUAUUUGACACAUGAAACCAGUACGGAGAACUCUUCAUCUCUUAGCACAAGCCUUCUUUCUCAAUGACAAGUUUAUGUUCAACACGUGCUGUUUAAGACCAGAAUGGGGUUCAGAGAAUCACAGAUCACAUCAAAUGCUCUUUAGUACCUAUCAUAAAGUAGCAUUAAAGUUGUAGCUCUAGGUACUCUAGUCAGACACUUCACAGUGACCUGUCUUGAGCUAUGAGACCCAUUUCACUGCACCCUGGGACAUUCCUAAUGUUCUUAGGAGUCAAGGCUGUUCAACUCUUUGUCUUGUUGUACAAACUACAAAUGAAGAAUGAGUCUCUGUGACAGGAGUGCAGUCUCCCAGACAACCAACCAAACAAGACCAAGAACCAAGAACUCAGAACUUCAGAGUCUAUUGCCCUUGAUAGCCUUGUUCCCCUCUGGACGCUAGCAGAAGUUGAAGGCACCAUUUUUCUUGCCAAACACAUUAAGUAGCAAUUUGAAAUAAAUCUUCUAUACAUCAAGCUCUCUAACAA